CUUACGUACCCUCAUAGAGUACGCAUUCACACGUAACAUCAGACUCUUCUCAACACUAUAAAGCUUCAGCAUCACUGGGAAUCAUUCAGACUCAAGAAAAAGGACUUUCAUCUGAGGACAAAUACAAAUCAGCAAACAUCCUGCACUGGUUUCUAUUUGACACAUACCCGACAGGUUUUUAUUUGAAUUGAUUUCCUCCAUUAUACCUCUCAAGAAAUUACCAGAGAUGUUCAACCUUCUGCUGUUCUCAGGACUGUUUGUGUUCUCACUAUGUAUCCCCACCAAAGACCUUUCCAGCCAAUCAGACAACAGCGAGUUCUACAGUGACCUGGAGAGUUCCCAGUUCUUACUGACAGACCAGGACUCCAGGCCCAGUCUUCCUCC